CGGCAUGCCUUACACAUGCAAGUCGUAACGGCAGCACGGGAGCAAUCCUGGUGGCGAGUGGCGAACGGGUGAGUAAUAUAUCGGAACGUGCCCAGUCGUGGGGGAUAACGUAGCGAAAGCUACGCUAAUACCGCAUACGAUCUAUGGAUGAAANCGGGGGAUCGCAAGACCUCGCGCGAUUGGAGCGGCCGAUAUCAGAUUAGGUAGUUGGUGAGGUAAAGGCUCACCAAGCCGACGAUCUGUAGCUGGUCUGAGAGGACGACCAGCCACACUGGGACUGAGACACGGCCCAGACUCCUACGGGAGGCAGCAGUGGGGAAUAUUGGACAAUGGGCGAAAGCCUGAUCCAGCCAUUCCGCGUGCAGGAUGAAGGCCUUCGGGUUGUAAACUGCUUUUGUACGGAACGAAACGGUGAGCUCUAAUACAGUUUGCUAAUGACGGUACCGUAAGAAUAAGCACCGGCUAACUACGUG
rnacentral:rRNA from 1 species